UCCCCACCCAAAACCGCAGCAAUAUUGUCUUAAAAUUAAUAAUAAACAUGAUUUCCUUGUCAUUCCUUAUCUCUCACCGUUCCCUCAUCCUUAGCGCCUCUCUCACCGUUUUCUCUCUCUCCGUUCUCUCUCUCACUGCUCUCUCUCUCUCACCGUUACUCUCGUCCAUCGUCUUCUCCAGCCAGCGAAAGUUGUUCGUCUUUCCUCGGUUCGGUCGUUCGAGUCUGUUCGUCUUCCUAGUUUCGAUUAUCAGAUCUGUUUUCGGAAAGGCUGAACGAAUUCAAGUCUGAAAUAGCAGUUUUGACCAAGGUGUUAAUGAAUAGCUUGUUAACUCUAUUUUGGCAUGAUGCAGUUUAUUGAUGAGAGUCUGCAUCUGACAAGUGAUGAGAAGAAUCCAGUGACAGUUACACUAUGCAAGUGGAACGGACAGAGUUACACCAUGUGAUUUCAAUUUUUUGUCUCUUUUUGAGCUGUCAGAGUUUUAAUGAAACUUGAGACGGUUAUCUUCUUCCCUGACUUAGCGUGUUUAGGGAUACGCUUUUUGAGUCACCAUUUUCCCCCGUGCUAAAUUAGUUUUUCUUCUUCUGUUUUUGGACAAAGCUUGGAAGGCCCAUAGGAAACUUUAUGCCUAACUCUUUCCUUCAGCCUCUAUCGACUCUCUUUACCCCUUUUCCAUCCCUGCUUUCCUGUCUCUCUUUUUGAACUUUCACAUCUAAAUCUGGUAGUCCGUCUUAGUGUGUGUGUGGCUAGUAACCUUUGACUCAUGUCUGCGUGAUUCUUCUCUUGGUUGUAAGUUUUAUAUUUUUACAUAUUUCUAAUAUUGCUCACUGUGAUAUGAGGAAUUAACUAUAAUUGCUUCGUUUCUCAUCCAGUGGUUCACCAUGAAACGCCAGCAUGCCUUAAUUGUCAUGGCUGACAGCUUAUACUACAGAAAAUUCAAACUAUAUUGCAGGAGUUGCAGUGAUGUUUACAAUGUGUUUAGAGUGUUGUUGUUUGUGGAGCUGAACAAUGCUUUACAUAUCAAGCCUUGAAGGUUCCUUUGUUUUCUUCUGGCACCCACAGUUUUACUCUAUUUAAAACUAAUGGUUGCCUUUGCUUGUCCUUAUCCAAUGGAGUAGAAGAGUACGAGUAAACUAAAAUUGUUUUGUGACUUGCUUGGACUGUUUAUUCAUCGCGAAGUUGCAGCCAGAUGUUGCAUAUUUGCAACGAAAAUUGAUGUUAUUCAUGAUGUACUUGAAGUCUUGAAACAACUCAAAUGUUCAUAAAAAAAAGUUCAUGCAUCUGCACUUGCUUUAAUUUUAAGCACUAGAUCCAUACUGCAUGAAUUUGUUGUAAUACUGGUUCGAAAAGAAAUAAAGUUAGACAGUUGAGAACUUCAUAAUCUUGAUUUUCAUUUCUUGGACUAAUUAAGAAGUAUCACGGUUGCAAAUCACUUGAUGUGCAAUACUAGAUGCUUCUUUAACAUGUUAUAGCUCGUGAUUCUAGAAUUCUGGUAGCACAAUGGAAGUUUACUCAUGAGUGACGUGAUUGCUAACCUUAGGAUGUGAGGCUUAAUUGCUCAAGUAUUUCCCAAGCCGGCCCAUCUUGGUGGAUUAAGCUGAGUUUGGAGAGGAAACAUAAUGGAAUAUUAUUUAUGAGUGAUGUGCUUGCUAACUUUUAUCCAUUCUGAACAAAGCUUAUGCUUUAGGAUGUGAGGCUGGCGUAUUUCCAAAAUCGGCCCAUCAUGGUUGAUUAAGCAAAUCUUGGUGAGGAAACCUGAAGUGGGUCGAACUUUGUUUCUCUCGACCCUCUCGUAUUCUAUGUUCUUGUACGCAAUGCCUGUUUAGAGAUGACCUACUAAAUGGAUGCUUCCUCUUUUUCAUGGCAAUAAGGAAUUGAGGAUAUUCUGUAUGGGUUUAUGACUUGUGAGGUCUUUGUAGGAACAAUGAAUCUGAAGAAUGAAAUAUUGUCAUACUAUCAUUUUGAAGAUCUAGUGAAGCUUUUUGGGCUUUCAUUGUUGCUACAAAUCGAUAAAAUUUAGGAACCAAUUUAACUUGUUCGUGAUAUAUAUAUUCUAUGUUGACGUUGCUGUUUUUGACUU